rnacentral:rRNA from 1 species
CAAGUCGAGGGGCAGCGCAGUGUAGCAAUACAUGGGCGGCGACCGGCAAACGGGUGCGGAACACGUACACAACCUUCCUUUAAGCGGGGAAUAGCCCGGGGAAACCCGGAUUAAUACCCCAUAGUACGUCGGAGAGGCAUCUCUCUGAUUUUAAAGAUUUAUCACUUAAAGAUGGGUGUGCGGCUGAUUAGGUAGUUGGCGGGGUAACGGCCCACCAAGCCUACGAUCAGUAACUGGUGUGAGAGCACGACCAGUCACACGGGCACUGAGACACGGGCCCGACUCCUACGGGAGGCAGCAGUAAGGAAUAUUGGUCAAUGGACGAAAGUCUGAACCAGCCAUGCCGCGUGGAGGAUGAAGGUCCUCUGGAUUGUAAACUUCUUUUAUAUGGGACGAAAAAGGGACUUUCUAGUUCAACUGACGGUACCAUAUGAAUAAGCACCGGCUAACUCCGUGCCAGCAGCCGCGGUAAUACGGAGGGUGCAAGCGUUAUCCGGAUUCACUGGGUUUAAAGGGUGCGUAGGUGGGUUGGUAAGUCAGUGGUGAAAUCUCCGAGCUUAACUUGGAAACUGCCAUUGAUACUAUCAGUCUUGAAUACCGUGGAGGUCAGCGGAAUAUGUCAUGUAGCGGUGAAAUGCUUAGAUAUGACAUAGAACACCAAUUGCGAAGGCAGCUGGCUACACGAAUAUUGACACUGAGGCACGAAAGCGUGGGGAUCAAACAGGAUUAGAUACCCUGGUAGUCCACGCCCUAAACUAUGGAUACUCGACAUACGCGAUACACAGUGUGUGUCUG